rfam:Lupinus angustifolius cultivar Tanjil chromosome LG12, whole genome shotgun sequence.
ACGAGAUAUGAUGAUGUUUAUCCAUCUAUUCUGCAAUUGAAUGAUGAUCACUAACAUGCACUACCAUCUGAUCUCUU